rnacentral:rRNA from 1 species
UACGAAGGGGCUAGCGUUGUUCGGAUUUACUGGGCGUAAAGCGCACGUAGGCGGAUCGUUAAGUCAGGGGUGAAAUCCUGGAGCUCAACUCCAGAACUGCCUUUGAUACUGGCGAUCUUGAGUCCGGAAGAGGUGAGUGGAACUCCUAGUGUAGAGGUGGAAUUCGUAGAUAUUAGGAAGAACACCGGUGGCGAAGGCGGCUCUCUGGCCUUACCUGGACGCUGAGGAGCGAAAGCGUGGUAGCGAACGAGG